UACGGGGGGGGCAAGCGUUGUUCGGAAUUACUGGGCGUAAAGGGCUCGUAGGCGGCCAACUAAGUCAGACGUGAAAUCCCUCGGCUUAACCGGGGAACUGCGUCUGAUACUGGAUGGCUUGAAUUCGGGAGAGGGAUGCGGAAUUCCAGGUGUAGCGGUGAAAUGCGUAGAUAUCUGGAGGAACACCCGUGGCGAAGGCGGCUCUCUGGGACGGUACUGACGCUGAGACGCGAAAGCGUGGGGAGCGAACAGG
rnacentral:rRNA from 1 species